rnacentral:misc_RNA from 1 species
AACGCACGAGACCUGCGGACCUGCGGAGGGAUCAUUAGUGAACGCCCUCACGGGCUUAUAACUAUUCCAAACCUCUGUGAACCGUGCCCUUCGGGGCUAUUUUACAAACAUGGUGUAAUGAACGUCAUAUAUCAUAACAAAACAAAACUUUCAACAACGGAUCUCUAGAUC